ACAGCAGCAGCCGCGGUAAUACGGAGGGAGCUAGCGUUGUUCGGAAUCACUGGGCGUAAAGCGCACGUAGGCGGCUAUUCAAGUCAGGGGUGAAAGCCCGGGGCUCAACCCCGGAACUGCCUUUGAAACUAGAUAGCUUGAAUCUUGGAGAGGCGAGUGGAAUUCCGAGUGUAGAGGUGAAAUUCGUAGAUAUUCGGAAGAACACCAGCGGCGAAGGCGACUCGCUGGACAAGUAUUGACGCUGAGGUGCGAAAGCGUGGGGAGCAAACAGGAUUAGAUACCCCCGUAGUCCCUGUCUCUUAUAA
rnacentral:rRNA from 1 species